rnacentral:rRNA from 1 species
GACGAACGCUGGCGGCGUGCUUAACACAUGCAAGUCGAACGAAGAGCGAUGGAAGCUUGCUUCUAUCAAUCUUAGUGGCGAACGGGUGAGCAACGCGUAAUCAACCUGCCCCUUCAGAGGGGGACAACAGUUGGAAACGACUGCUAAUACCGCAUACGAUCUAAACUCGGCAUCGAGGAUAGAUGAAAAGGUGGCCUCUA